rnacentral:ncRNA from 2 species
ACCAACAAAAAUCGUGAUUUGCCUGCUUGCCGCGAUUCAAAAUAAAGCGCUAAAAAGGGAGAAAUUUCCUAGGG